rnacentral:lncRNA from 1 species
AGCCUUUCAAAGUGUUGGGAUUACAGGUGUGAGCCACCGCGCCCAGUCUGAAGUUUAAUGCUCUGACUAUUCUGUAGCAUUUCUAGGAUGUUCAAUACACAAAAGUGGUAGUGGUUUUCUUUAGAACGUUAUUUAUUUCAUGCAGAUAUCUAACAUGUUGCCCCCAAAUCCAAGUAACAUUGUAGACAUGGCAUAUUAUUAUGCUUUUUUGACAUAUACAUUAUGGAGGAAAAUAGGGGUAAAUCAUUUCCAGUAGUCACUAGUACAUUUCCAACAAAUAAUAAGUCAUUCUAUUGAAGCCAAGAUUCACGUGAACCACACAUAAUCCAACGUAAGAGAGAUUGCCCAGAAAAAAGAAGCACACCAUGAGAACAAACAAACAAAUUAAAAAAUAACUCAGGUGGCCGGCAGCCACUCUUCCUGUUUCUCGUUUUUGCAACCAUCAGUAAGUUCUUCCCAAUUCUGAUCUGGGUGCCUCUUUCUUUUCCUCUUAAUUCUCCUGAGUCUGCAUCAUGCAAGCCUAAGAACAAAGCUAGUGAAGCAGAUUGUUCCCGAGUGCAGGUAGAGAGGGGAACCUGACUGGACAGGGAGGGAUGCCAGGGAUACUCGUACGUUCAGAGUUUUUGACCCAUCACAGGUAUCAAGAUGUGGUGAGAAUUCUCAAUUGAAUCGCUUCAGGAUUUAGCUGUGUCUGGGUGACUGGAAUCCUGGAGCAGGGUAGGACUGCUCAGGACUUAUUUGUAUGAGGAACCAAGGAAAACCUUGGAAAAGAAGG